rnacentral:rRNA from 1 species
UAACGGUCCUAAGGUAGCGAAAUUCCUUGUCGGGUAAGUUCCGACCUGCACGAAAGGCGCAACGACUUGGGCGCUGUCUCGACCAUGGACCCGGUGAAAUUGCACUGGUCGUGAAGAUGCGACUUACCCGCGGAAGGACGGAAAGACCCCGUGAACCUUCACUGCAGCUUGGCAUUGGCCGCUGGUCCCGCGUGUAGAGGAUAGGCAGGAGGCAUCGAUCCGGAGGCGCAAGCCCCCGGGGAGCCGCCCUUGGAAUACUGCCCUCGCGCGACCGGCGUCCUAACCCGAGGCCGUCAACCGGCUCGGGGACCGUGCCAGGCGGGCAGUUUGACUGGGGCGGUCGCCUCCUAAAGGGUAACGGAGGCGCGCGAAGGUCCGCUCGGGACGGUCGGCAACCGUCCUUUUGAAUGCAAGAGUACAAGCGGGCUUGACUGCGAGGCCCACAAGCCGAGCAGGUGCGAAAGCAGGCUCUAGUGAUCCGGCGGCCCCGAGUGGGUGGGCCGUCGCUCAACGGAUAAAAGGUACUCCGGGGAUAACAGGCUGAUCUUGCCCAAGAGUCCACAUCGACGGCAAGGUUUGGCACCUCGAUGUCGGCUCAUCGCAUCCUGGGGCUGGAGCAGGUCCCAAGGGUACGGCUGUUCGCCGUUUAAAGCGGUACGCGAGCUGGGUUCAGAACGUCGUGAGACAGUUCGGUCCCUAUCCUCCGUGGGCGCAGGAGAAUCGAUGGAGGCUGCCCCCAGUACGAGAGGACCGGGGUGGACGCACCUCCGGUGAACCGGUUGUCGACCAACGGCACGGCCGGGUAGCCGCGUGCGGCGCGGAUAACCGCUGAAGGCAUCUAAGCGGGAAGCCGUUCCAGGGAUUAGUUCUCCUUCCGGUAAGGGCCCAGGUAGACUACCUGGUCGAUAGACGGCAGGUGCAAGGCUGGCGACAGCCUCAGCCGAGCCGCACUAAUCGCCCGAGCUCUUCCGGAA